rnacentral:rRNA from 1 species
AGUGAACGCUGGCGGUAGGCCUAACACAUGCAAGUCGAACGGCAGCACAGUAAGAGCUUGCUCUUACGGGUGGCGAGUGGCGGACGGGCGAGGAAUACAUCGGAAUCUACUUUUUCGUGGGGGAUAACGUAGGGAAACUUACGCUAAUACCGCAUACGACCUACGGGUGAAAGCAGGGGAUCUUCGGACCUUGCGCGUUUGAAUGAGCCGAUGUCGGAUUAGCUAGUUGGCGGGGUAAAGGCCCACCAAGGCGACGAUCCGUAGCUGGUCUGAGAGGAUGAUCAGCCACACUGGAACUGAGACACGGUCCAGACUCCUACGGGAGGCAGCAGUGGGGAAUAUUGGACAAUGGGCGCAAGCCUGAUCCAGCCAUGCCGCGUGGAUGAAGAAGGCCUUCGGGUUGUAAAGCCCUUUUGUUGGGGAAGAAAAGCAGCAGGUUAAUACCCCGCUGUUCUGACGGUACCCAAAGAAUAAGCACCGGCUAACUUCGUG